GCGUGGGUCGGCCCGCUGAACUGGACCAGCGGGCUGGGGGAACCGCCGCCCCAUUCCCCGCGGGCGACGGUACCGGCCCGGGAAGUUGGAGAAGCCUUCCCGGGCCGGCG
rnacentral:ncRNA from 1 species